rnacentral:rRNA from 1 species
UGCGUAGGCGGAAAAUUAAGUCAGUGGUGAAAUCCUGCAGCUCGACUGUAGAACUGUCAUUGAUACUGGUUUUCUUGAAUAUAGUUGAGGUAGGCGGAAUGUGUAAUGUAGCGGUGAAAUGCUUAGAUAUUACACAGAACACCGAUUGCGAAGGCAGCUUACUAAACUAUGAUUGACGCUGAGGUACGAAAGCGUGGGGAGCGAACAGGAUUAGAUACCCUGGUAGUCC